ACUCGGCGUUCCGCGCCGCCGGAUAACCGUAGUAAUUCUAGGGCUAAUACGUGCGAAGCGCCCGAAGCCGCGAGGCGACGGGCGUUCUCGCCGGAUGUAGGAACCGACCCGGGGACCGCCGGGGCAACCCGGCGCCCCGAGACGGGGCGAACCACGGUGAAAUGACGGAUCGUCGGCCCCGCGCCGGCGACUCGCCGAAUGAGUUUCUGACCUAUCAACUCGAGACGGCGGGGUAGAGGCCCGCCGCGGUAACGACGGGUAACGGGGAAUCAGGGUUCGAUUCCGGAGAGGGAGCCCGAGAAACGGCUACCACUUCCAAGGAAGGCAGCAGGCGCGCAACUUACCCUAAUCUCGAUUCGAGGAGGUAGUGACAAGAAAUACCGAUGCGGGACCCUACGGGUGCCGCGUUCGGAAUGAGUACGAUUCGAACCACCUAACGAGGAACGAUCGGAGGGCAAGUCUGGUGCCAGCAGCCGCGGUAAUUCCAGCUCCAAUAGCGUACG
rnacentral:rRNA from 1 species